GCUUGCUUACUUCUCCCUCUCACAUAUAUAUAUAACAUAUAUCUUUAUGUGUGUAAGUAGACAUGCAUGUGAAUUUAUGUGCAUGAAGGGUAUGUUAUACAAUAUAUAAAUAUCCUACAAAUUUUAUUUAUAAUGUUAUUUUAGUUCCUUAUGUUUAUGAAUUUUCCAUUUUUUUUAAAUCAGAAUCCAUUACUUGUAAAAUCAAGAAAACACCAGAGGCAAGGAGAGAACAGAUAUUUAAUGACAUUUCUAGGUUCAGCAAAGCCAUUUAUCUGAACAUCCCACUCAUCUGUUAGUCCUUUGUCCUCUUUCAAGUCAGAGUCACCCAGUCCUGACCUGGACAGCAUUAGAUUAGUUCAACUAAAG
rnacentral:lncRNA from 1 species